rnacentral:lncRNA from 1 species
CAAUUUUGCAUGCCCAGUAGUAAAUUUCCUUUCUAACAGGUACCCUAAAAAGUCGGUCCAGCUAGAGGAACCGAACCAGAAUUUUUAUUUUAAUGGGAUUAUUUAUUUAUUUAUUUAUUUAUUUAUUUAUUCAUUCAUUCAUUCAUUCAUUCAUUCAUUCAUUCAUUCAUUCAUUAAAUUUAUACCCCGCCCCUCUCGACUAUGUUUACUCGGGGCGGCUUACAACAUAAAAUAGAACAAUAUAAAAUAUAAAUAAUCAUAAAAUACAAUUAAUAUAUUAGUUAAUACAAUUAGAUUAAAAUUAGCAGAAUGGAAUGAGAUGAGAGAAAGAAAAUAAAAAACUUAGCUGACUAAGGCCUGCGUAAAUAGCCAAGUUUUUAAUUGCUUUUUAGACAUUUCUUGAGCAAUUCCAGAGGGACCUGCAUGAUGAAGAUGUUGGUUUGGGGGGGCAUGGGGCAUAGCUAGCUAGCCCCAUGACUGUGGUGGGUAGUGCAGAAAGACCAAGUUCCAGACCAAAUUUCGGUGAACUUGCAAACUUCUCUUUGACUGCAUCACUCUGGGGUUUCUGAUGGGGUGGCAAUAAUCAGGGUAGUUGGAGCUGCAAUUAAAGAAAUGAUUCCAAUCCAGUGAACCCUGGAAAUUAUCAAGCUCCGAUGAGGUGCUUUGUUUCUUCUCUCUAGAACACCACGACCUGUUGAGCAGCAAAGAACCAAUGAUUUCUGCCAGCAAAUGGACUGAAUCGGGAAUAGGAAGGAACUCGGUUGAAUAGAAAAUAAAUCACUGAGACUAAUAAAUAGGUGCACUCCUAGAUUUGGAGAGGACACCAGAAUUGCACAGCGGCCUGUUUGUUUUCUCCGUCUCCUGCUUGAGAUCCCAACCAAGCUUAAGACAUGCAGUCUGGCAGCAUCUUCAUUGCUGUAUUUUUAUUAAUGAUCUUGGCUUCCCCAGGGGAUGCGUACAUCGGGAUAGAUGCGACAAAUUCUGAAAUGUGCAAUAGCAUGAAGGGCACCUGUACAACGAAUCCUCAGUGCAAUCGUCAAUUUCUAGGAAAAUGUGCGGAAGGAAUCUGGUGUUGCUUACAAUGACUUGGAAAAGGAAGGAAAGAGACAUAUUUCAGUUCAGCAACAACAGUAGCUUCAACACCAAGAAUGUGGAUUUUCUGUCACUUGGGAAUCAUAUAAUGAGAUGGAGAUCUUAUUUCACAGAUAUUUUAUGAAAAACAAGGAAAACUGGAACACUGUCUCAAUAAAUAAUGGAAUAAUUAUUGGUUUUUUUGUGAC